rfam:Oryza meridionalis cultivar OR44 (W2112) chromosome 8, whole genome shotgun sequence.
UUUAAGUGCAACCAUGAGUUUCUAUGUCCAACUUAGAUUGUUUGUCUUAUUUAAUUUUUUUAAAUUAGUAUUAUUAUUAUUAUUAUUAUUAUUAAAUGAUAAAACAUAAAUAGUAAUUUAUGCGUGACCUAUGUUUUUAACUUUUUUUGAAAAAAAUCAAAUAAGGUGGAUGAUUAAAGUUCAAUACAGAAAUUGGCUGCGCUUAAA